rnacentral:lncRNA from 1 species
CGGACAUUCUCGUAAGUGUUCAUAAAUGCACAAGAGUUCACACUAAAGUACUUAAACAAGUAAUGUUCCUUUAGCGGCACUAAUAUUUUCAAGGCAAUUUGGUGUUGCAUCACCAUCCACCACAAGUCCCUACAUCCCAUCCUAUCACCAUUUAUGGGCACCGCGAUCAACCUUAUGUGGAGCAAAGUCUAUAGAUUGUUCCUAGCACACCACUUCCAGGCACUGGGUAACUCCGACGGUUGGUUGUCGUUUAUAACGCACAUCAAUAGCCUUCUUUUUUCAAUUUCAAUACCCUCUGCUACAGUGAUGUUAAAGUUGUUCCUUCGCGGCUUAAUAACUUUAGCCUGGCUCCAGUUUACCAUAACAUCUUGCUCGUAGCUUUUCAUAGCCAAGGCAAUGCUCGUUCUUCACUUAGAAAUAUCCAGUUUAUGUUCUUCU